rnacentral:lncRNA from 1 species
GAACUCUGUGGGAAUAUAAAUUAUAACUAUGGUGAAGAGCAGUGUAGAAGCUCCCAGAAAACUGAAUAUAGAUCUACCAUGUAAUCCAGCUAUCCCAGGAUAAGGCCAGUCUAUCAGAGAUCAAUCACUUCAUGUCCAUGUUUAUUCACAACAGUAAAGCUAUGGUAUCUGCCUAGUGACUCACCAAGAAAGGAAUGGAUAAAGAAAACAAGGUAUGUGUACAAAAUGGAAUAUCAAUUUGCAGAGAAAUAGAUGGAACUAAUGGACAUUAUGUUUAAUAAAUCAGACACAAAAACUUUAUCACAUGUUCUAUAUCAUAUGUAAAAGCUAAAAGAAAAAUAACCUUAAUGUGGACUAGUGAUGAAUUGAGGUUUGGAGAGUUAAAGUGAAAGAAAGCUGGAUUUGACUAUGUGACUAUAUGACUUUAUGACUUUAUGAUUAUGUGACUAGUGUGCUAUAUGUAUAUGUUGAAAUGUUAUACAGAAUUGCAUUUACACAUACAAUUAAUACAUCUUAAUCCAAACAAUUAGAUAUAGAAACAUACUCUUAUGUGCAUGGCCCAUUAGCACCUUUUGUCAUCAUUAGAAUGUAAACCUCUUACUAUUGUGUGAAAAUUCCCAUGUAAUUUGUAUUCUGACUCCUUUGCAGUGUCACUCAGGUCUCCCUCUUUUGUCCUCACUGCUUCUCAGAGAGAGGUCACCUCCUGCUUCUCUGUGUACAGUAUAUCUUUGUACUGCCAGCUUUUCCCAUUCUUCUGGUCUUCCUGAAGAGGCAUUCACCCACCUUACCCCCUAGACAACACCUGUGCCCUAGAGCCUCUCACUGGGCUUUGUCUCUUCUCUAAUUGCUCUGUAGUUUUGUUUAUUUGGCUAUGGGCUGUUCUCCCAAGAUACACUCACCCCAAACACACACACACACACAUCAUACACACACAGGCACACACAGAUCCAGACACACACACACACAGAUAUACACACACAGACAAGCACAGAUCCAGAUACACACACAGACACACAGAUCCAGACACACACACACACAGACACACCAUACCAUUGGACGCUAAGUCAAACAAAUGCAGUAGCCAUCUCUGUUUUGUCUCUAGAACGUUGUAGAAGAUAUUCAGUGAGUGUAUGUUGAUAAGAGCAAGCAGCUGAGUAUUUUUCCUGGUUUAUACCUUUUUUAAAAAAUAAAACAAAAACAUAA